GGGGAAUUUUCCGCAAUGGGCGAAAGCCUGACGGAGCAAUACCGCGUGAGGGAGGAAGGCUCUUGGGUUGUAAACCUCUUUUGUCAGGGAAGAAGAUCUGACGGUACCUGACGAAUCAGCAUCGGCUAACUCCGUGCCAGCAGCCGCGGUAAUACGGGGGAUGCAAGCGUUAUCCGGAAUUAUUGGGCGUAAAGCGUCCGCAGGUGGUUGUUCAAGUCUGCUGUUAAAGCGUGGGGCUUAACUCCAUAUAGGCAGUGGAAACUGAACGACUAGAGUACGGUAGGGGUCGCGGGAAUUCCCAGUGUAGCGGUGAAAUGCGUAGAUAUUGGGAAGAACACCAGUGGCGAAAGCGCGCGGCUGGACCUGUACUGACACUGAGGGACGAAAGCUAGGGGAGCGAAAGGGAUUAGAUACCCCUGUAGUCCUAGCUGUAAACGAUGGAUACUAGGUGUUGCCCGUAUCGACCCGGGCAGUGCCGUAGCUAACGCGUUAAGUAUCCCGCCUGGGGAGUACGCACGCAAGUGUGAAACUCAAAGGAAUUGACGGGGGCCCGCACAAGCGGUGGAGUAUGUGGUUUAAUUCGAUGCAACGCGAAGAACCUUACCAGGACUUGACAUGUCGCGAAUCUCGGUGAAAGCUGAGAGUGCCUUCGGGAGCGCGAACACAGGUGGUGCAUGGCUGUCGUCAGCUCGUGUCGUGAGAUGUUUGGGUUAAGUCCCGCAACGAGCGCAACCCUCGUUUUUAGUUGCCAGCAUUCAGUUGGGCACUCUAGAGAGACUGCCGGUGACAAACCGGAGGAAGGUGGGGAUGACGUCAAGUCAUCAUGCCCCUUACGUUCUGGGGCUACACACGUACUACAAUGCUAGGGACAAAGGGUCGCAAGCUCGCGAGAGCAAGCCAAUCCCGUAAACCCUGGCUCAGUUCAGAUUGCAGGCUGCAACUCGCCUGCAUGAAGGCGGAAUCGCUAGUAAUCGCAGGUCAGCAUACUGCGGUGAAUACGUUCCCGGGCCUUGUACACACCGCCCGUCACACCAUGGAAGUUGGUCACGCCCGAAGUCAUUACUUCAACCUUUCGAGGAGGAGGAUGCCGAAGGCAGGGCUGAUGACUGGGGUGAAGUCGUAACAAGGUAGCCGUACCGGAAGGUGUGGCUGGAUCACCUC
rnacentral:rRNA from 1 species